rnacentral:rRNA from 1 species
UACGAAGGGGACUAGCGUUGUUCGGAAUUACUGGGCGUAAAGCGCACGUAGGCGGAUUUGUAAGUCAGGGGUGAAAUCCCGGGGCUCAACCUCGGAACUGCCUUUGAUACUGCAAAUCUCGAGUCCGAUAGAGGUGGGUGGAAUUCCUAGUGUAGAGGUGAAAUUCGUAGAUAUUCGGAGGAACACCAGUGGCGAAGGCGGCUCACUGGUCCAUUACUGACGCUGAGGUGCGAAAGCGUGGGGAGCAAACAGG